ACCUCCUCUUCACUGAAGUCAAGGUUGAUCAUGAACACUUUUUUUAGGGGUUGUGUGUUGAUAUAGUUUGAUAAAGGAUUUCUACUAGUGCUAAGUUGGUUAGGAUCAGCCAGUUUUCCAGCAUCGAUAAGGUCUUAAAUUUCAUGCUUCAGCCAGAUACAGUUGUCAGUGUGGUGGCCGGGUUCUUGGUGGAAUUUAUAGUAGGUGUUGGG
rnacentral:lncRNA from 1 species